GUACUGCUGAAGAGCCCCGAACUAGGACGAAACAGCUGUCCAGUAC
rfam:Trichobilharzia regenti genome assembly, scaffold: TRE_scaffold0004289